ACUGCGCAUAGGAGCGGGUUGGUUUAAAACGCCGUAUUAGUUCCAUGGAAAGUCGCCAGCCUGCCGCAGUAUGGAGCCUCAGGCGCACAGAUGGACUGUGGGAGGCCAGUUGGAAACUCCAAGCUGUUUAGAAGACCUGGAGAGCCAGAAAGUCAUCAGUCCUAUCCAAAAUGAAGUAAUUUGUGCAGGAAAAACUGACAUUUUAUGGAAGAACUGUGAGUUUCUAGUAAAUCGAAUGUGCCGUCUUGAAAGCCUCAUUCAGUCCUUGAAGACGAACAUCUUUCGCCUGCAAACUGAAAAGGAUUUGAAUCCUCAGAAAACAGGUAUAGAGAUAAGAAUCAUCAGAAAUUUGGUCCUGUGUAGGUGCUUGAUUUCCUUUACUGACUUUCUAUUGCUCGAUGCCCUCCUGUGCUGUCUGGUAACUUUUCUGAAAGAUCGACUGAAUACAAUACAGGACGAUAUUCUAAGGACCUGA
rnacentral:lncRNA from 1 species